UUGGAACGCUUGGUCUAAGAUAGUAACCAGUAUGGUAUUUUAUAGCAAAGGAUCCUGCGGACUUUGACUUAUCGGAUGCACUAGAUGAUCAGAAUGAUGGGAGAGGUGGUGGGAAACCAAACGUAAAACCUGGUGGAGCAUUUUCAGAUGAUGAUCUGGCCAGUGUUCUGGACGAUGGGGAGUACC
rnacentral:lncRNA from 1 species